UUUAGAGAUAUUUGAAAUGUACGGGGUUGCAUCGGCUGUGGUGCUAGCUCGUGGGAGCUCUAUUCCGACCAUCAGUGAGGCUGGCACCUGAGACACCGAAUUGUGGCGGGGAGGCUCGAGCGAUUAUAUGAGCGGUUUCUUGUCAGCGUCAGUUUAACUCAAAACAGUUGUGGUAACACUUCGUUUCACCAUAUGACCCCGGUCUGAACGAUUUUAUACAGUGGUCAGUGUUAUGUGGACAUUUAUUCAAAUUUCAUACAAGCUAUGGAAUUGAACUAAGGUGUAAAAUGUGUUUCUAGUAGCCUAUUGAACCAAAGUAACAAACAUAAAAAUAUAUGGGUUUUUUGUAAUUAUUUUGCGAUCAUAUAUAAAUCAAUAUUGUCUUUUAGAUACAGUUUGGUUACGUUGUUGUUUUAUUUCUGGUGUCCAAUUAUUCCUGUCUCCAAUCCAUUCAUUUGGGGUUACAAAAAGUCCACGAGGCCAAUUCCAGGGUCGUUUCAGAUUAGGCAAUAAACAACCAAAAAAUAAAGGUCUCCAGAGCUGCUCAGGAUAAUGUUAAAAUACGUCAAAAAAAAUUGAAAAAAUGUAGGUUGUGUUUUGAUCAAGCAUACAGUCAUAUAGCCUACCGUCAGAGUUCGCUUGUAUGGAGUUUGAUAGGUUCUAUUGUGAAGCUGCCAGGCAUCUUCUAAAAUACGCGGAUACCGGAUAUAAUGACAGCAUAUGUAAUGGUAUCGUGGAAAAUACUAUUCUCCAAAACAGUAAUCCACCAUUAGAAUUCAGAUUCCUUUUCCUCACCGCUCAUUUGAGAAAUAAUCAUCAGGGAUUUGUGCUUGUUCUGUCUCGCUGACUCCGCUGGUAAUGUGGUCUCCGGCGCUUGUGGCGGCAGUUGGUGAAGUCCAGGCAGCCAGCUAUACUGUGUCCGGAUUGCUAACAGAUCCUCAGGCAGGUGCCAUGGACAGCAGCUAUAUCAACACGUGACAAAUGAUUGAACUUUAUCUGUUUUAGAAUCAUACAUGCAGAAGCUGAUGACAUGGCUUACAAG
ensembl:lncRNA